AAGUCGUAACAAGGUUUCCGUAGGUGAACCUGCGGAAGGAUCAUUACCGAAGUACAGGCCCUCUCGUAGGGCUAAACUUCCACCCUUUGUUAACUACACUUUGUUGCUUUGGCGAGACGCCCUCGUGGCCACCGGCUCCGGCUGGUGCGCGCUCGCCAGAGAAAACCCAAACCCAAACAUUUUAAUGAUUUGUCUGAAAACAAGUUUAAUUAUUUAAAACUUUCAACAACGGAUCUCUUGGCUCUG
rnacentral:misc_RNA from 1 species